UGGGGAAUUUUGGACAAUGGGCGAAAGCCUGAUCCAGCAAUGCCGCGUGUGUGAAGAAGGCCUUCGGGUUGUAAAGCACUUUUUGUCCGGAAAGAAAUCCUUGGCUCUAAUACAGUCGGGGGAUGACGGUACCGGAAGAAUAAGCACCGGCUAACUACGUGCCAGCAGCCGCGGUAAUACGUAGGGUGCAAGCGUUAAUCGGAAUUACUGGGCGUAAAGCGUGCGCAGGCGGUUUGCUAAGACCGAUGUGAAAUCCCGGGCUCAACCUGGGAACUGCAUUGGUGACUGGCAGGCUAGAGUAUGGCAGAGGGGGGUUAGAAUUGCCACGUGUAGCAGUGAAAGUGCGUAGAGAUGUGGAGGAAUACCGAUGGCGAAGGCAGCCCCUGGGCCAAUACUGACGCUCAUGCACGAAAGCGUGGGGGAGCAAA
rnacentral:rRNA from 1 species